UACGUAGGCAGCAAGCGUUGUUCGGAGUUACUGGGCGUAAAGGGUGUGUAGGCGGUUGGAUAAGUGUGGUGUGAAAUCUCCCGGCUUAACUGGGAGGGUGCGCUACAAACUGUCUGACUAGAGUGUGGGAUGGGUAAGUGGAAUUCCUGGUGUAGCGGUGAAAUGCGUAGAGAUCGGGAAGAACACCAGUGGCGAAGGCGGCCGGCUGGGGGCGCCCUGACGCUGAGGCGCGAGAGCGUGGGGAGCAAACCGG
rnacentral:rRNA from 1 species